rnacentral:rRNA from 1 species
CCUACGGGAGGCAGCAGUGAGGAAUAUUGGUCAAUGGGCGGGAGCCUGAACCAGCCAAGUCGCGUGCGGGAAGACGGUCCUAUGGAUUGUAAACCUCUUUAGGCGGGGAGCAAUGCCGGGCACGCGUGCCCGGAGGGAGAGUACCCGCAGAAUAAGCAUCGGCUAACUCCGUGCCAGCAGCCGCGGUAAUACGGAGGAUGCGAGCGUUAUCCGGAUUUAUUGGGUUUAAAGGGUGCGUAGGCGGAUUUUUAAGUCAGCGGUAAAAUGUCCGGGCUCAACCCGGGCCGGCCGUUGAAACUGGGGAGCUUGAGUGGGCGAGAAGUAUGCGGAAUGCGUGGUGUAGCGGUGAAAUGCAUAGAUAUCACGCAGAACUCCGAUUGCGAAGGCAGCAUACCGGCGCCCGACUGACGCUGAGGCACGAAAGCGUGGGGAUCGAACAGGAUUAGAUACCCCAGUAGUC